GACGAACGCUGGCGGCGCGCCUAACACAUGCAAGUCGAACGGAGUCACGAGGAGCUUGCUUUUCUUGACUUAGUGGCGAACGGGUGAGUAACGCGUGAGUAACCUGCCCUGGAGUGGGGGACAACAGUUGGAAACGACUGCUAAUACCGCAUAAGCCCCCGGAUCCGCAUGGAUCUGCGGGAAAAGGAUUUAUUCGCUUCAGGAUGGACUCGCGUCCAAUUAGCUAGUUGGUGAGGUAACGGCCCACCAAGGCGACGAUUGGUAGCCGGACUGGGAGGUUGAACCGCCACAUUGGGACUGAGACACGGCCCAGACUCCUACGGGAGGCAGCAGUGGGGGAUAUUGCACAAUGGGGGAAACCCUGAUGCAGCGACGCCGCGUGGAGGAAGAAGGUUUUCGGAUUGUAAACUCCUGUCGUUAGGGACGAUAAUGACGGUACCUAACAAGAAAGCACCGGCUAACUACGUG
rnacentral:rRNA from 1 species